rnacentral:rRNA from 1 species
CGUAGGAUGCAAGCGUUGUCCGGAUUUACUGGGCGUAAAGCGCGCGCAGGCGGCACAUUAAGUAAGGUGUGAAAUAUCCCGGCUCAACCGGGAGGGUGCACUUUAGACUGAUGAGCUUGAGGUCGGUAGAGGGGGGUGGAAUUGCUGGUGUAGCGGUGAAAUGCGUAGAGAUCAGCAGGAACACCCGUGGCGAAGGCGGCCCCCUGGGCCGUACCUGACGCUGAGGCGCGAAGGCUAGGGGAGCGAACGGGAUUAGAUACCCCGGUGGUCCUAGCAGUAAACGAUGGCCACUAGGUGUGGGGGGUGUUGACCCCUUCCGCGCCGUAGCUAACGCAUUAAGUGGCCCGCCUGGGGAGUACGGUCGCAAGACUA